GGUACUGUGGCCGAGGUUAGGCGGCGAGUUGUAGCCUCGAGGACGGGGGGUAACCCCUCAUUACCAAGUC
rnacentral:tRNA from 1 species